rnacentral:rRNA from 1 species
AAGUCGUAACAAGGUUUCCGUAGGUGAACCUGCGGAAGGAUCAUUAUUGAAUACACUGGACUCGAUGCUGGCUCUUAACUGAGCAUGUGCUCGUCCUACUAUUUAAACCUUCUUUUGUGCACAUUUUGUAGUCCUCGAGUAACGAGCACCUCUUCGCAGCAAUGCGGAUUAGCUUGGGUUUGACCAAGGUCUCUCCUGCAAUGCUCUCUGGGGACUAUGUUUUUAUAUACAAGUUCAGGUUACAGAAUGUCUUUAAUGACUGCGCUCGCCGUAGUCUUAAACAAAUACAACUUUCAGCAACGGAUCUCUUGGCUCUCCCAUCGAUGAAGAACGCAGCGAAAUGCGAUAAGUAAUGUGAAUUGCAGAAUUCAGUGAAUCAUCGAAUCUUUGAACGCACCUUGCGCCCUUUGGUAUUCCGAAGGGCAUGCCUGUUUGAGUGUCAUUAAAUUAUCAACCCUUUGCUUGCUUUUACCGGCUUAAGCUUAGGUUUUGGACGUGGGGGUUGCUGGCUUCCUUCAGUGGAUGGUCUGCUCUCCUUAAAUGCAUUAGCGGAAUCUCUUGUGGACCGCCUCUCGGUGUGAUAAUUAUCUAUACCGCUUGGCCUUGAAGCAAAUUUAUGGGACUCAGCUUAUAACCGUCUUUCGAGACAACUUUAAUAACAUCUUGACCUCAAAUCAGGUAGGACUACCCGCUGAACUUAAGCAUAUCAAUAAGCGGAGGAAGAGAAACUAACAAGGAUUCCCCUAGUAACUGCGAGUGAAGCGGGAAAAGCUCAAAUUUAAAAUCUGGCGGUCCUUGUGGCCGUCCGAGUUGUAAGUUAGAGAAGUGUUAUCCGCGCUGGACCGUGUACAAGUCUCCUGGAAUGGAGCGUCAUAGAGGGUGAGAAUCCCGUCUUUGACACGGACUGCCAGUGCAUUGUGAUACGCUCUCGAAGAGUCGAGUUGUUUGGGAAUGCAGCUCAAAAUGGGUGGUAAAUUCCAUCUAAAGCUAAAUAUUGGGGAGAGACCGAUAGCGAACAAGUACCGUGAGGGAAAGAUGAAAAGAACUUUGGAAAGAGAGUUAAACAGUACGUGAAAUUGCUGAAAGGGAAACGCUUGAAGUCAGUCGCGUCGCUCAGGACUCAGCCUUGCUCUUUUGCUUGGUGCACUUCCUGUUCGACGGGUCAGCAUCAAUUUUGGUCGGUGGAUAAAGGCUUAGAGAAUGUGGCAUCUUCGGGUGUGUUAUAGCUCUGGGUCGCAUACAUCGGUUGGGAUUGAGGAACUCAGCACGCCGCAAGGCCGGGUACUUGUACCACGUACGUGCUUAGGAUGCUGGCAUAAUGGCUUUAAUCGACC